CAGUAGCCGCGGUAAUACGAGGGGGGCAAGCGUUGUUCGGAUUUAUUGGGCGUAAAGGGUGCGUAGGCGGUUUGGCAAGUCUUGUGUGAAAUCUUCGGGCUCAACCCGAAGCCUGCACGAGAAACUACCGGGCUUGAGUAUUGGAGAGGUGAGUGGAAUUUCCGGUGUAGCGGUGAAAUGCGUAGAUAUCGGAAGGAACACCUGUGGCGAAAGCGGCUCACUGGACAAUAACUGACGCUGAUGCACGAAAGCUAGGGGAGCAGACAGGAUUAGAUACCCGAGUAGUCCCUGUCUCUUAUAC
rnacentral:rRNA from 1 species